ACAAACACGCCGUGGAUGUCUCUUGGUUGUAGGCGCCGUCAAGGAGCGCGACGUCUGCGGCGCGCGGCGGCAGGCCCGACGCCAUUGUAUGUGCCAGACGCAUGACGGCCAACAUGGGCGCAUAGGCAAAGUGCCCGUCGUUCUGGACGCACAGCGUCGCCAGAGUGUUCCAGAGGUCGCACGGGCGAUCCCAUCCGGCGCGGUCGCCACGGGCAUCCAACAUGGCCAGUAGGCCCGUCAGGCCAGUGAGGCUGCGCGUGAGGACGUAGAACCGAAACAUGUCUUCAACGCCGUCCGGUCCACAUUCAGUGAGAAAGGGCACUGGCCAGCGCCGACCGACAUAGAGCGCCACCUCGGCGACGGUGAGGGGUUCCAUGCUGCCGUUGGCCACAUCGAGAGCGCGGGCCAUGUCAGCGUACGAGCCGCCUCCUAGGCACGUCUCGCACAGCCAUGCCACCAUGGCGACCGUGGCGUGCGGUCGCACGAGUGGUCGCACGAGCGCGCUGACGAUGGCGCCGUGCACGUCCAACGGCUCAUCCUUGGUUAUCGGUCUUUGUGCCCGCGCCCACAGCCACUGCGCGAGCCUCUGGCGACCGGCCGUAGCCGCCAAAGCAAACACUGCGUUGGCAUCAAAGGCCACGCCGCGUGCGUCCAAGAGGGCCAAUAGACGCCACCGGCCCUUGAUGACCGCCGCACGCAGCCAACCUCUAGGCGCAUCAAGCGUCGCCGGCGGCAUCGGGUCCAGGUGGCCGCAGGCGGCCAAGUCCAAGAGACGCGUAAAGCAGCACGGGUCAGCCGCCUCGGCCGCGGCCGUCCAGCAUCCGCUGUCAGGAGGCCAACGUGCAACCGUGCGGUCGUCGAUGAGGUCCACCCGUCCGUGCCGGCACGCUGUUGAAAUAAUGUCGCGGCUACGCACUGUGUGGCCAUACCAGACGUCAAUGUCGGCCACGGUCAAAAUACAUCCACGCUGGAUGGCCACGUCCCAUAGGACGCCAAGAAGGCCUUGGGCGUCGCCGCGGGUGUCAUCGUCCCACUCGUCGUAUUCUCCCGCCUGGCGGUUCAUGUCGAGAUCGCCAUCUCCGUUGCCAAAGGUGCACUUGGCGUCGAGCGCACAUCGCACGGCCCAGCGCUCUCCCGACGCCACCAUGGCGGCCAAGACUUGCUUGCGCGUGGCCGAUGCCACCUCUGCACACCAUCUGUAAAUCGAGUCGGCAUCGGCCGGCGACCAGCGGCCAUCCGAGAUCAUGUCGGCGACGGCAGAUGCGCAGACCACCCUGCCCGUGGACCACUUGGGACAGCCAACAGGCGCCUGUUGGUGUAUGGUGGUGGAGCGCUUGUGCGGAUGGCCGCCCAUGGCGGCGGCCUCGGACGCGCUCGGGUGCGCGACCACCUCGGCCCACAGGCGGCAGACGGCGCGCGCGGCAAAGCGCCACCGCGGAUCGAGGGACGGACGACUGCGUCGAGGCGGACCCGAGCGCCACGCUGGCCUCGACGUUGGUGGCGCCCACCCGUUGAGCACCAUGCGCAACAGUUCAGGUGGCAAGUCGUUGAUGGUGAGCCUGUAGUUCAUUUUCGUCUGUUCUUUUUUUUGCGGCACUGCACCCAUCAAAUACAAACCUUGUU
rnacentral:lncRNA from 1 species